AUUGAACGCUGGCGGCAGGCCUAACACAUGCAAGUCGAACGGUAGCACAGAGAGCUUGCUCUCGGGUGACGAGUGGCGGACGGGUGAGUAACGUCUGGGAAACUGCCCGAUGGAGGGGGAUAGCUACUGGAGACGGUAGCUAAUACCGCAUAACGUCGCAAGACCAAAGUGGGGGACCUUCGGGCCUCACACCAUCGGAUGUACCCAGAUGGGAUUAGCUAGUAGGUGGGGUAAUGGCUCACCUAGGCGACGAUCCCUAGCUGGUCUGAGAGGAUGACCAGCCACACUGGAACUGAGACACGGUCCAGACUCCUACGGGAGGCAGCAGUGGGGAAUAUUGCACAAUGGGCGCAAGCCUGAUGCAGCCAUGCCGCGUGUAUGAAGAAGGCCUUCGGGUUGUAAAGUACUUUCAGCGGGGAGGAAGGCGGUGAAGUUAAUAGCUUCACCGAUUGACGUUACCCGCAGAAGAAGCACCGGCUAACUCCGUGCCAGCCGCCGCAGUAA
rnacentral:rRNA from 1 species